rnacentral:rRNA from 1 species
UACGAAGGGUGCAAACGUUGCUCGGAAUUAUUGGGCGUAAAGCGCACGUAGGCGGCAUUGCAAGUCGGGUGUGAGAGCCCUCAGCUCAACUGAGGAAGUGCGCCCGAAACUGCAGAGCUUGAGUACCGGAGAGGAUGGCGGAAUUCCCCAAGUAGAGGUGAAAUUCGUAGAUAUGGGGAGGAAGACCGGUGGCGAAGGCGGCCAUCUGGACGGAUACUGACGCUGAGACGCGAAAGCGUGGGUAGCAAACAGG